rnacentral:rRNA from 1 species
GAUGAACGCUAGCGGCAGGCUUAACACAUGCAAGUCGAGGGGCAGCACGUCUUCGGGUGGUGGCGACCGGCGCACGGGUGCGUAACGCGUAUAGAACCUACCUUUUACAGGGGAAUAGCCCAGAGAAAUUUGGAUUAAUGCCCCAUAGUAUUAUUGAAUGGCAUCAUUUAAUAAUUAAACAUUUAUGGGUAAAAGAUGGCUAUGCGUUCUAUUAGCUAGUAGGUAAGGUAACGGCUUACCUAGGCAACGAUAGAUAGGGGUCCUGAGAGGGAGAUCCCCCCANACUGGUACUGAGACACGGACCAGACUCCUACGGGAGGCAGCAGUGAGGAAUAUUGGACAAUGGGCGAGAGCCUGAUCCAGCCAUGCCGCGUGCAGGAAGACGGCCCUAUGGGUUGUAAACUGCUUUUUGUACGGGAAGAAACACCCCCUGUCGAGGGGGCUUGACGGUACCGUAAGAAUAAGGAUCGGCUAACUCCGUG